AGGACUUAUUUAGGAGACUAGUGGGCAAAGAGCCCAAAAACGUAGACUGAGGUCAGAUUGGGGGAAUGGACUUGAUCCUACAGUCAACAGGAAGACCUGGAACGGCUGGGAACAGCGGUGUGAUGUGACCUGGGGAAGGCUUCAAAAGCAAUCUGGAAUCCAACUCCCUGAGCCGUGUUCCCCGUAAGCGUCCUGCACCAAAGCCUACAGAUUCCAUCUUGUUAAUGUCUCUCCUUCCUUCCCCUGCUCCCCCUCCCCUGCGUGGAGGAAGACCGGACUCUCCUUGGCUGGACCCUUCCCAAAGCACCUGCCUGGCCCGGGCAGGCUCCAAGCCACACCCACCACUCCUUCCAGCCAAGGCUUUGAGUCAUCCUCUCCCCUGGUGACGGGUGUUGCCAUUGCUUCUGCCCCUCCUGGAGUUAUAAACUCAUGGGAAGGACCCAGAUGGUCUAGUCAGACGGGACUGGACUUCAGUGCUGGCCUCUGCAAAUGCAAACGACCUUGGCCAGGUUAUGGAACUUUCAGAAUCUCCUCACCUGCGAAAUGGAACAAUAUGUACUUCUUAGAGUUGUGAGAAUUAAAUGAAAUGAUGCCACAUAGAUCUAGAAAUACCAGGCUUUAUGUGGCAAAUAAAUGAAAGUGCCACAUAGAGCCUGGUGUUUCUAGAUACAUGAGUUUCUUUUUCCCUUCAAGAAGAAGGCUUCUGUGCUUCUAGUAUACCAGCGAUCAGAGUAGGUACUCAAUAAAUAGUGAUGAACUCAAUGAAUUGCUGAGUUAGGUUU
rnacentral:lncRNA from 10 species